GACGAACGCUGGCGGCGUGCUUAACACAUGCAAGUCGAACGGAAAGGCCCUGCUUUUGUGGGGUGCUCGAGUGGCGAACGGGUGAGUAACACGUGAGUAACCUGCCCUUGACUUUGGGAUAACUUCAGGAAACUGGGGCUAAUACCGGAUAGGAGCUCCUGCUGCAUGGUGGGGGUUGGAAAGUUUCGGCGGUUGGGGAUGGACUCGCGGCUUAUCAGUUUGUUGGUGGGGUAGUGGCUUACCAAGGCUUUGACGGGUAGCCGGCCUGAGAGGGUGACCGGCCACAUUGGGACUGAGAUACGGCCCAGACUCCUACGGGAGGCAGCAGUGGGGAAUAUUGCACAAUGGGCGGAAGCCUGAUGCAGCAACGCCGCGUGCGGGAUGACGGUCUUCGGGUUGUAAACCGCUUUCGCCUGUGACGAAGCGUGAGUGACGGUAAUGGGUAAAGAAGCACCGGCUAACUACGUG
rnacentral:rRNA from 1 species